rnacentral:misc_RNA from 1 species
UGCAAUUGGCCCAAGAUUGUUAGACAAUGAAGGAAAGAUUGGAUUUUGAGGGAGAUUUGUGGGUGGGUUAGAAACCAAGCCAAUCUUGUCACUGUUCAUUCUGUUGGUAGGAAAACUUGAACUUGACAUAGAAACAGAUGAGCUAAUUGCAGGCAUAAAACUACCAAUUUGGCCAACUGGGUCUACACCAAAACCUUGAUCCACAACCCCAAAUCCUCCAUUGAAUUCAUAGUCCCCUGUACCACUAACCUGCAACACCUUAUUCAAGUUAGCCAUGGAUGGGUCAUCGACAUCUCCCAUGAUCCACCUUAGUAUAGACUGUUCUUGGCAAGGUGAAGCCAUUACGGACUCUGAUAACCCUCCUUCCCACUCCUCCAUAGCACAUUUAUCCCCUCCCG